rnacentral:rRNA from 1 species
CACGUAGGGCGCAAGCGUUGUCCGGGAUUAUUGGGCGUAAAGAGCUCGUAGGCGGUCUGUUGCGUCUGCUGUGAAAACUCGGGGCUUAACCCCGAGCCUGCAGUGGAUACGGGCAGACUAGAGGUAGGUAGGGGAGAAUGGAAUUCCCGGUGUAGCGGUGAAAUGCGUAGAUAUCGGAAGGAACACCAGUGGCGAAAGCGGCUUCCUGGUCCAGCACCGACGUCAGGCACGAAAGCGUGGGGAGCAAACAGG